rnacentral:rRNA from 1 species
CCUACGGGUGGCAGCAGUGGGGAAUAUUGGACAAUGGGGGCAACCCUGAUCCAGCCAUGCCGCGUGUGUGAAGAAGGCCCUCGGGUUGUAAAGCACUUUCAGUGAGGAAGAACGCCUGGUGGUUAAUACCCAUCAGGAAAGACAUCACUCACAGAAGAAGCACCGGCUAACUCCGUGCCAGCAGCCGCGGUAAUACGGAGGGUGCGAGCGUUAGUCGGAAUUACUGGGCGUAAAGCGCGCGUAGGUGGCUUGAUAAGCCGGUUGUGAAAGCCCCGGGCUCAACCUGGGAACGGCAUCCGGAACUGUCAAGCUAGAGUGCAGGAGAGGAAGGUAGAAUUCCCGGUGUAGCGGUGAAAUGCGUAGAGAUCGGGAGGAAUACCAGUGGCGAAGGCGGCCUUCUGGACUGACACUGACACUGAGGUGCGAAAGCGUGGGUAGCAAACAGGAUUAGAUACCCGGGUAGUC